rnacentral:rRNA from 1 species
UAGGGAAUCUUCGGCAAUGGACGAAAGUCUGACCGAGCAACGCCGCGUGAGUGAAGAAGGUUUUCGGAUCGUAAAACUCUGUUGUUAGAGAAGAACAAGGACGUUAGUAACUGAACGUCCCCUGACGGUAUCUAACCAGAAAGCCACGGCUAACUACGUGCCAGCAGCCGCGGUAAUACGUAGGUGGCAAGCGUUGUCCGGAUUUAUUGGGCGUAAAGCGAGCGCAGGCGGUUUCUUAAGUCUGAUGUGAAAGCCCCCGGCUCAACCGGAGAGGGUCAUUGGAAACUGGGAGACUUGAGUGCAGAAGAGGAGAGUGGAAUUCCAUGUGUAGCGGUGAAAUGCGUAGAUAUAUGGAGGAACACCAGUGGCGAAGGCGGCGCUCUGGUCUGUAACUGACGCUGAGGCUCGAAAGCGUGGGGAGCAAACAGG